GAUGAACGCUAGCGAUAGGCUUAACACAUGCAAGUCGAGGGGCAGCAUUAUUUUAGCUUGCUAAGAUAGAUGGCGACCGGCGCACGGGUGCGUAACGCGUAUGCAACCUGCCUGUAAUUAGGGAAUAACCCGGUGAAAGUCGGACUAAUACCCCAUAUUCUUCUUUCUCCGCAUGGAGGAGGACGGAAAGAUUUAUUGAUUACAGAUGGGCAUGCGUCCCAUUAGCUAGUUGGUAAGGUAACGGCUUACCAAGGCAACGAUGGGUAGGGGGACUGAGAGGUUGACCCCCCACACUGGUACUGAGACACGGACCAGACUCCUACGGGAGGCAGCAGUGAGGAAUAUUGGUCAAUGGGCGAGAGCCUGAACCAGCCAAGUCGCGUGAAGGACGACGGUUCUAUGGAUUGUAAACUUCUUUUGUAGAGGAAUGACGGCAGCUACGUGUAGCUGAGAUGCAUGUACUCUACGAAUAAGUAUCGGCUAACUCCGUGCCAGCAGCCGCGGUAAUACGGAGGAUACGAGCGUUAUCCGGAAUUAUUGGGUUUAAAGGGUGCGUAGGUGGCGUAUUAAGUCAGUGGUGAAAAGCUGCAGCUCAACUGUAGUCUUGCCGUUGAAACUGAUAUGCUAGAGAGGAGACGAGGUAUGCGGAAUGUGUGGUGUAGCGGUGAAAUGCAUAGAUAUCACACAGAACGCCGAUUGCGAAGGCAGCGUACCAGGCUCCGUCUGACACUGAAGCACGAAAGCGUGGGGAUCAAACAGG
rnacentral:rRNA from 1 species